rnacentral:rRNA from 1 species
GACGAACGCUGGCGGCGUGCUUAACACAUGCAAGUCGAACGGAAAGGCCCUGCUUUUGUGGGGUGCUCGAGUGGCGAACGGGUGAGUAACACGUGAGUAACCUGCCCUUGACUUUGGGAUAACUUCAGGAAACUGGGGCUAAUACCGGAUAGGAUCUCCUGCUGCAUGGUGGUGGUUGGGAAGUUUCGGUGGUUGGGGAUGGACUGGCGGCUUAUCAGCUUGUUGGUGGGGUAGUGGCUUACCAAGGCUUUGACGGGUAGCCGGCCUGGGGGGGUGACCGGGCCCAAUGGGACUGAGGUACGGCCCAGACAACAACGGGACGCAGAGGUGGGGAGUAUUGCACAAUGGGCGGAAGCCUGAGGCAGCAGCGGCGCGUGCGGGAUGACGGCCUUCGGGUUGUAAACCGGGUUCGCCUGUGACGAAGCGCUAGUGACGGUAAUGGGUAAAGAAGCACCGGCUAACUACGUG